UACGUAGGGUGCGAGCGUUGUCCGGAAUUAUUGGCGUAAAGGGCGCGUAGGCGGUCAGCACAAGUCAGUUGUGAAAUCUCCGGGCUUAACUCGGAAAGUCACUGAUACUGUGCGACUAGAGUGCAGAAGGGGCAACUGGAAUUCUUGGUGUAGCGGUGAAAUGCGUAGAUAUCGAGAGGAACACCUGCGGCGAAGGCGGGUUGCUGGGCUGACACUGACGCUGAUGCGCGAAAGCCAGGGAGGCGAACGGG
rnacentral:rRNA from 1 species